ensembl:lncRNA
CUAUUUUACAUCUCCACGGGGCACCAGGAAACACAGGCAUCAUCAUCUUCGAAGCCUUUUUGUCUUAAAUCACCACAGCUGUUCUCCAAUCCAGUCCUGCCAGCAACGUUCCCUUUGCUAAAAAAGAUUAAGAAUUCGACCAGCCACUGCUACUGAUCCGUCCUGCCCUUCUAGUUUCCGGUUCCGUUACUUUCCUGAGUGAGGUGUCCAGUCCGUCUCGUUCCUCUCCUCGUUUGCAUCCCGCCUGCUCGUCCACUGUCUUGCCGUCCUCUCGCUUGAUUUUACUGUGGCUUCUGCUCUCCUAGGGCUUUUCCUUCCCCUCUCAUGCCGUCCUUUAUAGCAGCUGUGUUAAUUAUAGAGGGGAGGUCCUUUCAUUGUGUAAUGCGGUUGGCCAGGACUCUCUGUAAUUGAUUAGUCCCUCCAGGUGCAUGUAGUUUACUGAAAGGUGGAUUAAUACGUAAAAAUGUAAUAAAACCAACCAUGCUAAAAUGUAAAAACAAGCCAUACUAAAAUGCAAAACCAAACCAUGCUAAAAUAUAACAAACCAAUAAUUUACAGAAACCACAAUGUCCCCCUGGUGACACAUACAUGGAAUUUGCCUCCGGUUAAUCCUUUGCUCUUCACAUACUGUAUUCCAGUCUACAACAGUAAAUGCAUUUACAGGACUCUAAUCACAUCCCAAUUAUUCAAAGACAAGCCGUAACAUUUAUUAUUAAUUAGAUGUUAAUCAAGCUAUUAUCAUGCCCUGUAUUAUAAAGGUUGAAUAAGACAGGUCACAUGGUCUUAUAAACCACUUAAACUUAAUUUUGAUCCAUAGUUUAACACUGCUAUCUCUGAACAUUCUGAAAGUAAAAUGAUGAUUUUGGAAUUGAUAGUGUUGCGUCUUCGGUUUGCAUGAGCAGUCAACAACCCUUGUUUCAGCCAUGAAUUAAUUGAAAGCAGAAGUUAAACUUAUCAAAGCCUAAAUUCAAUCAAUAAUUCUCCACAGCUGAAUACAAAACAUGACAAGCUUGCAUAGAGAAAUGUUUGCAUGAUUAAAAGACCUGGAGCAAAGAGCCAGUUUGCUGAAUCAUACAAUUUCUUUGUUUACGCGUUCAAAAAACCCACAAAUAAUUACAAAUAAUUAGUCUCAAAAAGGGAUGGUGAGGCUAUGGAGAGGAUGCAGCAACAGCUUAAUUAACCAUUCCUUUUGAUUCUGGCAUCAUUUUGGGACAACCCGUUGCAAGAGGUUGUAUGCUCUAUGACUUGAGACUAAAAGAUGAGCAAUAAUUUGACCCCUGAAAUAUUAACAGAAAGAAUCACAUUUAUCAUCUGUAAAACAAAACAGUCACAAAAAUAAGGUAAUUUAUGUGAUUAUAAUAAAAAAAGGCUUUCGUUCAUGGAAUAAAACAGAAUGUUUACAUACAAACAGUAGACAAAAAUCACCAUAUGAUUAAAUGUUUGGUUCUUCUAAGCCCAAUAUGUGCAUGAAUGGAGAAUGUGGAGCUAUUCGUCCUGGUUCAAAGCCUGUUUUUAACCUCUGUUAAAAAUGCAGUUUACAGGAGAAAGCUGAAAUAAUACAGCAAUGACACAGCAGCGAUCUGUCUUAAAAGAAUUUCACAAAUCCAUUACUGGAGCAGCAGUCUACACUUCUUUGAUUGUGGGGAAAACAAUGCUGACGAAACGUCUGUGUACAGAAGACACCCGGAGGUCACCAGUAUAGCUAACAUUUGGGUCUGGAUGUUAGAAUUCCUGCAGCACCUUUUGGUUAAGUGAUCUGAAUAAUAUUCUUAAAUAUGGAUUCACAAAAGGGGUUUAAUAUUGAAUAGAUACGUGGAGCAGAAAAUUAUAUGUAUAAGAAAAGUAAUACGUUGUGGAUUACUCAAACUCAACUUAUUUUAGGAUUUAAUCUUUAUGUCAUAAUAAAAUAUAAACUUUUCUUUGAUGUUCUUGUCACCAGGGAUUCAUGGGGGUGCAAUGGUUAGCACUGUGCAAAGAGCAGCCUCUUACAAGGAAGAGGUACUUGUUAAGACAAUAUGAUCCAUUUGUAACAUUUAAACUGACUAGGCUAUUGAUACAUAAUAUAUUUGUAUGGAUACAAUUUCCCUUGAUUGUUGCUGUAACUGAAAUAGAAGUACCCUUAUGCAAAUUCUAAAAUAAAAGUCUAUACUCUGAUUUAGUCAUGAGUUGUUAGUAUAAAUGAUGCGGGAGCUAAAACGGGUCAUAAACAAACAAUUCAAAAGCAGAAAUAAGUUUGAGCAGUGAGAAUGGUGCUGAAUCUGAUUGAAUGAAUCUUUUUGACACUUAAAAAAUGGCUUAAGAAUAAUCGUUACCACUUUAUUUAAAAAAAAAGAAAAUACACUGCAGCACUGUGUGAUUCACCUCAGAGAAAGAAUGUCCUAAAGUGAGAUCAAAGAAGGUCGUCAGGCAGCUGUAAUCAUCUUUUCUUCCUUAGUUUUACUAAACUUUCUCAUAGGGGCUCUUUCACUCCUUGCCUCCCAAAAAGGAAAAUUAUAGCUUUAUACUUUUCGUAAUUUAUUUCCGACAAUAUAACGCUUGCUCACAUUUUAUUGAAUUCAUGUUAAUGUACUUGUCAGCGGCCGAGGUUUCUUCUUAAAAACUAAAAGUGUUGCCAACAACGCCACCUAGGUAAAAGCCCUAGUAACUAAAUAAUUAAAAACAAAGGUUUGUUUGGAGGGGAGCAGUAAAACAAUGACCCAAGAGGCGAAAAGGGCGGAAAUACGACUAAAAAAAUAUUUAUUUUGAUAAAGAUUAAAAUAUAUAAAAGGGAGCUAAAAUAGUCCGUCCAGGGUCAUCACCACAGCAGGAGCGAAGUCCUGCGCGUCCCUGGUCCACUGGUUUGGACGUCUGACUGCCAGUCGCCCUCUGCUGCUGCUGCUUCUGGUGGUGCGUCGUCUGCUGCUGGUGCUGCUGCUGCUGGUGGUGGGUCUGCUGCUGCUUCUGGUGGUGCGUCGUCUGCUGCUGGUGCUGCUGCUGCUGCUGGUGGGUCUGCUGCUGCUGCUGCUGGUACCUCUGCUUCUGCCUUUCUUUCCUUGCUCCUUCUCCCUUCUCUCGUGUCUCGUUUCUUCCCGGUUCUCCUUGUUGCUCCCCGGUUCUCCUUGUUUUCUCCUGUGCCACUGUUCUGUCUUCCUGCUUAAAAAGAGAAAGUUCUGCCCCUGGCCUUUCCCCAUUGGUCCAUUUGCCAUAUGCCACUAAUUGCUAAUUAGUUGGGGACGAUUGUCAAUUGAGGACACAACUCAAAACAAAACUCAAAGCAGAUUAUAAAUUGUCCAACAUGCAAUCACAAAACAACAAGUAAUGAAAACAUGCAAUCAUAAAAUAAUAAAUUGUAAAACAUGCAAUCAUAAAUCAAUAAAAUAUGCAAUCAAUUGUGCAUGCAAUCAAUUGUCCCCAAUCGUCCACCCAGUGACAUACUUGAUGGAAGAAUACAUUGAGUUUAGCUGAUCAUAUUCCACGUCUGAGGAAUACACCCAUGUAUAGCGAUUUAAAAGGCGCAGGCAGAAGUAGGACCCAAUUGCAGACUUCAAACAAAAACUUUAUUAAGAACAACGGUAACGCAGACUAACGGCACAACUCAAUGAACCGACAAGAGACACACACGCAGUUCAAAUACACUGUGAAGGUGCGGGUGAUUAGUCACAGCAGAAAACACUUGGGGACACACCAGACAAUGGCUGGAUUCAAAUUGUCAAGUUUGGUUAGGAAGGUUCAUAACUGAGUGAAAUGACGCAGGAGUAAUGUAAGUGGCCGCCAUAAUAAGAGCUGUUUGAAGUCUCCAACGCUAAGGGAAUGAGCUUUAAUGCUCCCCCACUUAGCUCCUUUAGCAUAGGAACCACUGGACCAUCCUUUAAAAACGAAAAGGAGAUGAUUCUGUCCCACAAUUCCCUGCGGCGGCAAUAUUUAAAUAGUGCCUUAUCAUUCAUGAGAAAUAACAAUGAAGACCGAGUCAUGUAAGUAACCGUUGCCAUAACUCAUUUUUACUUCAGCCUUGUUAAUAAACUAACAGUUUGAACCCGGUUGUUUUAUGUCGUCUGCAUGACUUGGCACAGUAACAACAAAUGGACAAAGGCUAAGAUGCUUCUUUGUAGUUCAUCUUUUGGGAAAUUGUAGACGUUUUCCAAAGAGGUCAAGGAAAUGUUAGUAAGUCAUUUUUCGACAAUACAAAUCCAGGCAAUGACCCAUAGGAGAAAACACCAGGGAAGGAAGUAAAGUCAACCCAGGGACACGAAAGGCAGGAAACCACAAAAUAAAACUAGACAUGAACUGACAAGAAGUGGCAAAAAGAGAUGAACUGCAGGACAGAAAGAAGAGAAAUGGCAAUAGAACUGCUGAUAGGACUGUCUGUCCUAAUUAGCCAGCUCAAAAGAAGGAAGCACUGCAUGUCAGUCUGCGGCAUACAGGGGAGCUUUGUGGUGACUAAAGGAGGUCUGGAUCUUUAUCUGACAAAGAGAGAGGAAGCGUUGAGUUUCAACCCUGUCAGCAGGUUUUUGAAGCCGGCGAAGAAGCAGGGCAUUGUGCUAUCUUGGGCUUUCAGCCCGACAGGCUUUUGCCUUGUUGUAAUGUGGGAUAAAUAGUUAACAUGCUCCAUUUUCACCCCCAGCCAGUAUGAGCCAGGCCAGAGUUCAGUCGCCUUCAUGAAUAAAACAUGGUGGGUAUUAUUUAUUUGCAAGGAGAUAACUAAUGUGAUUUCUAAAGUCCAGACUUUUUCAUAUUGGGAUCGACAACCAAUUGGUUAUAGCUUUACUCUAUAUAUUAGAAUAUUGGCUUUUGUUGAAAUUUGUUUCAAAGGAUUAUGUGCAACACAAUUUAAAUGACGACUACUGAAAAGACAACCUCUCUCCUUUGUACUGCUUUGCUUAGUACACAGAAGAGCUGCUGAAGAAAAAGAAACGUCAGUGAUCAAUAAACCGUGGUCACAACAUCUAGAGUUUCUGACAUUGCAAGUAACAAAAAAAAGAGGAAUAUAUCAGAGUGUGUGCCUCUACCCCAUUAUGCAACCAGCAGGGAGGGGUAAUGUAAUAGAAAAAUGUAGGUUUAUUGACAUAUUGAUUUCAAAGCCUUGAGGUGAUGGAAACACUGAGCAAUAUCUAACUUGUAUGGACUAAAGAGUAAUCUUCCAAUUAAAACCGCUCAAGGGUGCUGUAAAUAGAUUUUGGCCGAGAAAGAAACUGAUAAUUACUUUGGGCUGCACUACAUUUUGGGUGUUAUAGGAGGGUAAAAUAUGCAGCGAGCACACUCAGUAUCUACACAGAUGAUUUCCAAAGUAGAGAGCAUUGAGUGCAUAUGAUUUUUAGUUGACUGCCCCCAUAUCAGAGACACAGAAUCAAGCAACUGUUGCUUUAAAACAAGGUAGAGGACUGUUACGCCCCCCUCUUUGGGUCUAAUGGUUGAGGGGAGUACCCAGGGAGAAAUUGAGUUGGUAACAGAUGCCUUUCCAACAUGAUACUGUACCAAAACUGCGGCAACCAUCUUAUGGUUGUUCGACAACUCCCUCUUGUACACCUAUGGAAGGAUGGCAUGUUGACAUGUUAAGGUACCUUGAGUGGUAAAAGGACAAGUCAAUACCAGAGCCGUAUAGGUCGUCUCUACCACGUUGUCUCUACCAGGUCGUCUUUUCCACGGCAUCGUAUCUUCCACGAGAAUUCUGCGACUACUUCUCUGCUGGAGCAUCUCUACCACGACGUCUCUACCACGGCAACUUUAUCAUGAUGUCUCUACCACGGCGGCUUGACCUAUACGGCUUGACCACUUAAUCUUUACCAUGACUUCACCUCUGCUAGGUCUCGACCAUAGCUACUUUGCCAUUACGUCUCUACCAUUGCGUAUCCACCACAGCGGCUCUAACAAAACGACUAUACCACGACGUCUCUACGACGGUCCUACAACACUGGCUCUACCAGGACAUUUCUACCAAGGCGUUUAUACCACGACAUUUCUACCACAAGGUCUCUACAGUGUCUGUACCCCAUCAUUGUCUCUGUCACGACAAUUCUACCACGUCUCUACCGUAACAUGUCUCUAUCAUGCCGCAUUCUCUAUCAGACGUCUAACGCAUUGUUCCUACUACUGUUUCUCUACGGCAUCUCUACCACCAUGUCUCUACAAUAACAACACCUCUACCGUGGCGAUUUUACCCUUGGAUCUUGACAAAAACUUUUCUACCACAACGUCUCUACUCCCUCCAGUGUGUUUCUUUAUUGGGGUCUCUACCACGAUAUCUUUUCCACCAUGAUGUUGUCUCAGUCACGACUCCAACACUAUGUUGCUAAGGCGUGUCUACCAAGGGGUCUCUACCAAGGCAUCUCUACCACAACAUUCCACCAUGACGUAUCUACAUGGGUUUCAACCACAAAAUCAUCUCUACCGCAACAACUUUAAAACAAUGACUCGACUACAACGUUUUUAAGUCAUAUCUUUCUACGACGUCUCUACCACAACGUGGAAAAGACGUUCCACAAUUAAAUAGUGUAAAUGUUAGGAGGAAAUAUGAGCUGUUAUAAACCAUCUGUACACUCUUCAUCCACUGUGCCUCCACCCCCACUAAGCUGGCGUGUGAUGCUUCGCCAGUUCCAUCUGUUUGCUGAGAUCAGAUUCAGACGCAGCCAGAUGUGACUCCGACCCAUGGUGCACGGGUGUCAUCACCAAAGAUGGUUUGCCCAUGGAGGCCUCGUCUGGAUUUCUCAGGGAGAAGAGGGUUGGGCUUGACUUUCAGAUCAUAGAUAGAUAGAUGUAAACUUUUUAAUUCAUUGAGUGGGCUUUUUUUAGAGUGUCACUUUGUUUAUGAGUGAUAAAACGGAUAAAUGACACUCAGCUCACAGAAAAUAAUGGAGGUAUCUCCUGGGUUUAUCUGGAACAAGAGGAUUCAUCCAUCCAGGCUCGAUAAUGGGGUUGUCGUGGCGCAGAGGGUAGAGCGGGUGUGCUGGGAACCGCAAGGUUGGUGGUCCCGGCUGCCCCAUGUCUCAAGUUGAAGUGUCUCUGAGCAAGACACCUAAUCCGAAUUGCUCCCCGGGCAAAAUGUAAAAGCCAUGGGUUUAAAGUGUAAUGUAAGUCGCUUUGGAUAAAAGCGUCUGCUAAAUGACCUGUAAUGUAAUAAAAAACAGGUUGUCAGCCAUUUAAGUUAUAACAUUCUGACCUUUAAUAAGUGUCCACAUAAAUCGGUCAUGUUUCUGGAUUAAACACUAAACUAUUGUGGUAACUAUCUUUUCCCAUAACAAUAGUAUUAAUGUUGCUCAUUUACAACUUCAAAGUCUAACGAAUUUGCAUCUGAACAUGUGUCAUUUUGUUUAAUGUGUAAGUUUGUCUGCAUAUCUUUAUAGGAAGGCACGUGUGUCUGUUUCCUAAUGCUCAUUCAUGGGUUUUGAAACAUGCAGUAUCAAUAACUCAACAGUUAUUUUUUCCAGAUUCCUAAUAAUUCACUAGGGGCAUGGAGAUACAAAAGGCAAGGUUGGCAAAUGUAAAAUGAUAUAUCGUCAUUUUCACAUUCCUAACAACCUCUGUACAUUUGAGGUUGUGGAUGGCAAAACUGUUCUCCUUUUGUUGAUGUCUAUUGUCAUUUCAGCACACACCAGGUAACCCACCCCCAGACACCAAUAGACUUUUACUUUUGCAAGGCCCUUCUGGCCAUUCAAAGUGUUUUAACACCAUAUGUCAUUAGUGACCCAUUCACACAUUAAUACAAGGUGUCAUGCCCAAGGGAACAUCGGCAUGGACGGGCAGAUUGCUGUUUUUAUUCAGAAGGAAUUGUACAAAUAACCUUUAUCAGGAGGUAAAUAUUUGGUGUCAGUAGUGUUGAUCAAGAAUUUUUAUUUAAAUGUGGCUUUAUCAGAGCAUGGCUGUCUUAAUACACCACAAACGACAUUCAAAUAUUAGUUAAACCCCAGGAAUGUCAGGACGGCGGGGAAGGCAGGACUCAAACGCAGACUUCAAAAACAACUUUAUUAACAAUGCAACAAUGACCUAUGCGAUUAGCCUCUGGUCUAAAAUUUAUCAGCGGAUAAAACACAUCCACACUCAUCCUAUGGAUUCUUCUGCAUUCUCUGCUAGGGGUAUGAGUGCCUUAUGUUGAGUAUCAUCACCUCAACCAUAGGCAUGUGUCGAUGAGUGUGUAUGCAAGUGCUCAUGUUUUCGCUUGAGUGUGUGCAUGCGGCUCAGGUCCUUAGAGGUUUGCUGCAGCUACGAUACUUCAAGGCUGAGAUGAAGAUUGAGAACAGGUGGUCUUUAAAUGACUCACCUCAGGGAUGGAAGAAAAGCUCUUUCUGUGAUUCCUUUUUCCCCAGUGUAGAAAUCUUCUCAGAGCUUUUGUGGAUGUGAAUGCUUACCGGCUAAUAGUAACCUGUCAGCAAGCCCUUUCCUUUAAUCUACAUGCAGAUCUCUUAUGUUGUCCUAGGAGAAACGGAAGGAACUACUCAGCAAGCCUCAGAGCUCAUCGCUCAUGGCCAAGGUGACUGCACCUGGGUGAAACGUUUCCUCAAUGUCCUAUGAACCUGCUCGCUGAGAAGGUGGAUUGUCACAGUCAAUCAGCUCACAAUUCAAUGAUAGACUCGGGCAGGAAAUCUUUAAAUUGCUCAUGUAUGGAGAGAGAGAGAGAGAGAGAGAGAGAUGGUUGCACAUCAAAGUAUCAGUGAAGUAGAUUGCUUAUGCAUGCUAACAUGGCAGCAAAGGUCACGAAGUGAUGCUAAGUGACUCUAAAUAGAGAGUGGACAUUUUAUUUAAAGAUACUUACUCUUCAGUGAUUCAUGCACUGCAUGAUGUAACAGCCGUAGAUUUUAAAUAUAUUUUUUCUAUAUUCAACAAGAUUAGAGCACGGCAAAAAUCAUGGGGAGUUGAGCUGUGUACAUUGAUGUUACCAACCUGUAGACUAAAGGACGACAUUACAGCAAAGCCGUUUUCACAGGAAUACUGUAAUGGUUAACUGAGUAACAUGUUUUUUCAACGUGAUUUUACGAGGCAAAACAUGUUUAAACCCCAGUCUGGUUUACUUCGAGCAAGAGAUGAAUUGAUGUGUGAUAGUGCUGAAAGGUUAUGGCUGGUUAUACUCUAUAUUUAGUUUCUUUCCUUCUAUUUUAUAAGAUUGGGUUAUGUGCACACUGUAGUGUAUUAUGAAACCCCUUUUGAUGGACGGCCUGUUUUCCCAAAGAAAACGUGUUCGUCAAUUCUGAAAACACACAUUCUCCAAGCAACAAACAAACAGAAGUAUAUUUCUAAUAAUCAGGCGUUAAUAUCUUCCGUAUAUUUCUUUUCAUACAUUAGUGAAGGCAGGACCAACCCUACUCUACUUCUGGUUGUUUUGUUCUUCCUGAACUUAUUUGAACUAGCUUCAGUCUUCAAAACUAAACCAACCCAUGAAGGCAGUGUUGGGUGUUCAGGUUCUGACCAGAGGUCUGAUUAUGUCAUUCUGUAUGAUAACUAUGUGCUUUCAGUUCAAUGGCACAUUUUUUCAGAGUCUUUGGGUUUUGUAAUGAUUGAUGGUCUGUUCCACUCAUAAGAUACUGCUUGCUUACCACUACAGUACAUUUCAGGAACAUUACAGGAUGUUUUUUGAGCACAUUUUUCAAAUAUUAUUAAUUGAAUUUUUUUACCCAAAGACGUUGAGUAUUCCUUAUGAAGAAGUUGUGAUGAGUCCCCUAGAUAAGUGCAAGAAGAAAUUGGUGUAUUAAGAAUUCCGUGUGAUCCAAACACCCAUAAAUGUCAUACUGCACAGGCUGUCAUAAUUUCAGAUGUUUAGAAAUAACUAUCAAUUUUAAUAACUGCUGAUAAGCUUUACCUUCUUUGGUUGGUCAAUCAAAGAUUGAUAAUUAAUUUGGAGGCCCUCAAAAACAAAAUUGCUGAUUUCUACUCUUAUGUUUGAUGUCUAUUGGACAAUAUUGUUGGAUAAAUAAUAUAAACUCUUUACUCUUUAAAGUAAUCCAGAAAAUACAGCUUUGUUUAUUUAACUAUACAUAUACAUUUAACAUAUGUACAUAACAUAUUAUUGAUUCCUACAAAUUAAAAUAGAAAGUACUUACAUACUGUGUGAUUGAGUGGCUUAGAGCUGAUAUUACCUGCUGUGACUGGUGGUAAAUAAAAUAAUGGUUUGAUAAGCAUUUGGGCUUUUUACUUUAGUGGUUGGAUUCACCCAAGUAGAUCUUUGGUCACUGGUCCCCUAUCUAAUCAAGCUAGGUAUGUGGUUUGAGGAAUAAAUUGGUGUGUGUGUGUGUGUGUGUGUGUGUGUGUGUGGGCUGCUGGCUUUAACAAUUUGCAUUUUGAAUGUUUUCUUUCCCAACGGAUCGUAUCAUUAAGCAUAGAGAAGUUAGAGAUUGUGGUCAAAGCUUGGAAUUGAAAGACACCUACAGUAUAUUUGCCAUGACCAGACACAACUGAUAUAUUCAUUGCUGCCAAAAAAUCUCUUUGGGGUUUUCCUGGGCAUGGAGAAGGAGCAAUGUGGUAGCCGGCCUCGUCUGUAUGGCUUUCUUAGCAGAUGUGUUGAUAAAUUAACAUUCCUGUCAUUUCUCGUUGUCUGUACUUUGCUUCGAAUGCAUCUCCAGAACCCAUCAUCCUAGAACAUGGAGCCCCCUGAGUUGAGUGCGAGUCACGCCAGCAAUCUUUUUUGGGGGAUCGAAGAGGGUUUAUUCCAUAUCACGCUCCAUAAACCAGCACUAAACCUGGGAGGGCGAGUAAUCAGGAGGUGAACACAUUGUGGGCCACAGGGAUUCUCCAAUACGGCUGCACCUCAAACUCCCCAGGACUCAUACCAAGCGUUAAAUCAAAGGUGUGUGGGGUAGAGGCAUCGCUUAUUUUGUGGGGCUGGCGAUUAGUCCUGGAGAAAUGAUUCCAUGCUAAUUGGAAAAAGAAACCUAAGAAAACCCAUUAUGUGGCAUCAUGGCGAGAGGGAGUGGGAGAAAUGGAAAAUGUUAUGAAUACAAAUGACAUUGGAGUUUUAAAGUGAGGGGGAGAAAUAUUGGAUUGCAGGAUCAGCGUAAUAUGGGAUGAAAGUAUUUAGAAUGAAAAACAAAGUAAUCCCCAAGAAUGUAAUUUGAAAGCAGAGGCCUCUGGGAUAUCAGGUCUUCGGAUGGCAGAGUUUGAGUUGAGGUGGUAUGAAAGGUUGUUAGGUGGAUAUACCCGCCUGCCCCACAGUUACAAAACCUUAUCAAAAGGACAGCAGAUUUUAACAUGCCAUGAUCACGUCUUCAAAGGCCGUGCUGAGUGAAAAGGAAUGGUUACACUGUAUUGAGGAAUAGGAACUCAAAGAACCUUGGAGGGAAAGGAAAGAAUGCAGACAGUAAUGUGCAGAGGCUGGGAUGUACAUUUAAUUCAAUCUGACAGGAGAGGGGAGGGGAUGGGAGGGGGGAUAAAAACAUCUUUCUCCCUCUUUAGCCAACCUAAGAGCCAACCCCCAUUGAAACGCUUUGAUGGAGAUAGGUAUGCUCCCGUCUCUUCCCCUUCCUUCCUCGGUAAAGGGUGAGAGGGAGGCACUUCGUUGAAAGGGAAAAGUUGCAAUGUUUUCUGUGUGGACAGCCUCAAGGGCAGCUGGCAAGAGAUUAGAGAAUGUUAUUAGCAAGCAAUCGGCUCAUAAUUCCACUCAUAAUCCUCCCACCUGGGAACAAGAGUGAUCUGUGAGUUCGUUUCACCUGAUGCUAUCGGUGACAUUACAUCCCCUGGACUAUAAAACACACUCCUCAGUCCCCCCAGGUAAUUGUUUUGUUUCUUUUUGGCGCUCAAACUAAUCUCAAAUAGUCUCAUAUUUUUUCAAGCCCAAGGGGGUCCCGUUGAAAUUUUCCCAAACCAUGCGCUCUAAAGCAUAAGUUUACUGAUCAUUCAAUCAGGACAGCCUCGGUCCGAAUUGACAAACAUUACACAGUAUAACACUGAAAUGUGCAGAUUAUUUGGCAAUUGGACGCCAUCCUAAACUGGGAUAAUCAAGGGGCCGUGAUGCCGAGUUCUGCUUGGCAGACUCCCCCCUGGAGUCCACACACUGGUGGUGGUGAAGAAGAGAGUUGAGAAAAACCAAGGACAAGUGAACAAUCCCUGAUAGCUGCUGGGGUUUGCCUGGAGUGGAGGAGGGUCAGACCCGGUUUCGCACUGAAAUAACCGGUGACGGCAACACCGAGAGAACCCCUUGACAGCAACUAUAUGAUUGGUUUAGCGCCACCGCCCCGCCUCUGUUGGUCACAUGCACCUGGGUGCAGCCAAUCUCUGCUGAUUGGAUCAUUCUGGGAGACCAGCUGAAGCAUAUCUACAUUAUGUGUGGCACGAAGGGAGUCUUCCUUCUAGAACUACCGCUUAAGCUCCAUUUUACUUGACAUCAUAGGGGGCGUUUUUUUAAAGUCGGGACGCCAAUUUUUACUAAGUAACUAGUAAUAUUUAGGUCACACUUCCUCUCAAAUAUUGGAAGCUAGCUUGGUUCACCUGGUAACGUUGGUGCCAAGCAAUACUAAAGUAAAUAAUAAAUUAUUUUUGCUGAUGUUAUUUCAGCACUUGCAGUGUCCUCGGAAGCUCCUCUGCUCUCAGUGUUUUGUUUCUUUUGGGGGAAUAAACCUAACUGGUUGUCAGCUGCUAACUGCUCGUCUUAGUGAAGAAAAAUCAUUGUAUGAAAAAUACAUUUUGAUUUUGUCAAGACACAUGACUACAUAAAGUACAAACUGCAUUCAUGCAUAAAUGGAUGCAGAUUAGAAGUCGUUUUGAGUCUUUAAUUUCCCUUUAAAUUUUUAGUUUGUAUUGUGAAAACUUGUAUGUGUUACUGGGGGAUGAACAAAUACAUACAACAGUAAUACAUUUUACUCAUAAUUCUUAAGCACAAAAUAGUUUAGUAAGUGGCCUUUAGCUACAAACCUACUUCUAAUGAGAAUGUGCUCGUAUGUAUAUCCAGCACAGCUUUUAAUAGUUCACCAUGUGAGUAAUGAGUAAACCAAUUGAGUCAUGCUUAUGGUUAGAUAUGGUUAGACAUUAUAAAUGAUACUUCCUAGCUAAUAAAUUGUGAAUUGAUGUUAAAUUUAUUGAUGAAUCCACUUUAAUAAACUCUUGGUAAAUGUUAAUCACAGUAUGAAUCUAUAGCGCUGACAACAGCCCUGAAAUAAAGCCUUAAGUUUUAAUAUCAGUCACUGACGCAGCUUUUUGCUAUUUUGCACUUCUGGUUGGAUGUUAAACUGCAUUUCAUUGCCUCAGUACUUGUACCCUGUGCAAUGACAAUAAAGUUGAAUCUAAACUAAUCUAAUCUAAUCUUGCGAGGGAACGAAGAAACCUUUUUCAACGCUGCUAUUAUUUCGCAGGCCAAAUAUUAUUUAAACAUUGUAACUCAAUGUCUAAUGCUUCAGUCACGUGAAGUUAUGAGUGUCUACAGAUCAUCAAAAAAUGUUUUAAACAUACAUUCACCCGAGAGUGAUUAUCUGCGUGUUUAUGAUUACUUUCUCACAGCAAGUUUUCUAAAAAAACACGGCAUAAUAAUGGGGAUUAAUUUAGUCAACCAUUUACAUUUUUUUUCAAGGUUUGACUUUCAUCGCCCACACCCACGAGAGUAAUUGUUGUUUUUCGUCACAGCGACACUUUUCUCAGAACAAGGUCAUCAGAAAAAGCCUUUUAGAGAACUGUUUCCAUUCAAGAAGCUCUUGGUUCGUCUUUGAUCAGCCGAGGCAGCUCAGUUUUAUUACUACCGAAAUGCACUUCUAUACUAUUUCAUUGUCACUGCCUUAAAUGCAGCACAGAAAACAUAAUAAACUCAUUUAUUAUUAUUAUAAUCAGCGUAUCACUUUAAAUGUAUUAAUUACGUUUCAGGUUUAUUAACCUCACUGUAUUGUGUAUAUAUAUUAUUUGGUGACUUUGUAUUUUCACAAAGACCUUCCUUCUGUCCGGUUUACCUGAACAACCAGAGAGAGCGCCAGAGAUGAGACCCCAAUGAACUCUGCAAAAUACAGAAAAGCAGAUAGUAGAGGUUGGGGUCGGGAUGUGCUCACUUCCAGUAUCUUGUCGGCAGGACUCGAUGUUCACAACAUAAUAUGUGCAUUUUAAGUAUGCAUUAGUGAAAGGUAACCUUGAAUAUAUCUGGAUAAAAAAGCUCAAACUAUGAAUUGGAAUUGACUCGCUGUGAUCCACAUGCUGACCAGUAUUCCCUCUCUUUUUGCCUUCAGCUGAGACUACGUUCAACAUCUAAAAAUGUAAUAAAAACAACAAAGCUGAUCACUCUUCCUCUAUCAUAAAGAUCAAAUUUGUCAACAUGGUGAUAAUGAUAAAAAAAAAAUUGGGGGGUCUGCAUAGGGGAAUGACAAUAAUUGCGGCAGCCAUAAACUUGUGCUUUAUCGCCUUUUAUAUGGUGUUCAUGUUCCGUGGUUGAUGUGCUCAGGUUUCACGACACCCACAGUGAGACAUAGCGGGACUGAUCACAACAAUAAAACCCCAAAAGGGGCAAAUGGCAGAUAAUACUCUUGCCUCACUAGUCGUGUGUUACUAAUAUUUUACCAGUGCAAUGCAAUUAUAGUUAACAUGUGAUAAACUUUACCAGACUACAGACGUUCCUCCAAGAUUCUAGGAUCUGUGUGAAAUGACUGAGAUCAAACCUACCCACCUUUUAUCCUGUGACUGAAAGCUGGAUGAGGAGUGCAUCUUAUUUGAAUAAUUACUUAGGUGAGAAAAGUCUGCUGUCACAUUGCUGCACAAAAUAUCCCAAAUUAGCAUUUAAAUGAGCUGUUAGAAAAAUUCUCACUUGACACCGGUGUAAAAUCGUUAAACAUUUGUUUAAUGCUAGCAAGCACAGAGACAGAAUUGACAACAUUGACAGUAUUAUGCGUUGUCAAGGCUACUCAAAGGUCUUCCUCUUUGGAGCGCGAAUGUAUAGAAGGAAGAUAAACAUGCUAGACAGGGGGCGCUCCCGGCCAAAACCAAGUGCUGGCAGCAUGUAGAUGGUCACCUUUUGGAGGUGAACAUCAACGCAAAUAUCUUGAUGAUCAGAUGACCCAGAACACAAUGUACCUCUGUGUGAAAGAGCAGGGACUUCCUGUUGUCCAAGUUCUCUAAGCUAAGAUGAAACAUUAUUGCAUUAUUCGGUUUCCAACAUUAAGCUACAAUGCUUUCAACAUGAAAACUAUUCAACAUCCAAUCCAAUGGUACAUCUAUUGUGCCAUCUUGCAACACCUUAUGUUGGGGACUCGUAAUUAUCUUCAGUUAUUAUUUUAUUUAUUGGCUGGGCAGGCUGCUUUGAGCCAUUUAGGAAGCCAUGCUGUAUCCUUUCCCUAGUUAUUAGUGACAAUGACUUGAAGACAUCUGAAUGUAAAAUUAAAUUCAUACACAGACAUUUCGAUUAGUUAUGCAAAUACGUCCACAGCGUUGUCCUCUGUUACCGUCUGGGUAUUGCAGUGUGGUUAUUGAAAUGAGGAAGUCAUUAACAGUGAUUUCAUUUUCUUUGAAGUAUUCAAAUCUAGUCGCGUCAAACUCAGGCUUAGUUUUGCUCUGGUACAACCAAACAUUAUGCAUCUUUAAUGAUUUAUUCUGUAAUCUUUGCUGCUCAAUGUUAACUAAUUUACAGAUGACAGUUGAUAUGCAGCAAACCACAUGACAAAGAGUAUGUCAUGACAGGGUUUAUGUGGGACAACUGUGCUGAACCUCGAAAAAAAGCAUAACAUUAAAAGUAAAAGCAAAGGGAGUUUUGUGGUUUGCUAUCAAGUACUUGCUAACAUGUGCUAGGUUCUUACUAUGACUGAUGGGGUGGUGUGCACAUGAACGUGUCCUUAUCUGCUAAUGAUAGAACAGUUGGGUUAUUAUAUUUCUUUGUCUGUGGACCUUCAAGAAAGUUCAAGUGGAUUUUUCCUUGUUGAUUUCACAGACUAUUGAACAUCUACAGUGGGUAAGUGUUUGCUCAUUAGUUAGGAGAGUUUUUAUCUUGUCCAGCAUAUGUUUGUAAAUAUUUGGGACGAGAUCACAGCGUUUUUAUGUUGUAAGCCAUGUUGCAAACGAAACCUGAUGCAAGCAAAGAAGAACUUCAGAGGAGAGCCCGACAUUUUUAGGCGGUAAAACGCACUUUGGUGGAUGCGGUCGCUCAUAAAAUCAGUUGAUGGUUACCUUGAUUAUUACUUUCUAAGUCACAUAUAUUUUAUUUCUAUAUCUGUGUAAUCAUUCACCUGGUCAAAGUCCACACAAAACAAGUCCCAUGUUUCUGUGACGCUAUAUUGUUUUAAAAGUAUAUACCCGAUGCCAGGUCUAAUUUGUAUAGUGUGUACAUGACUAAAAAGUAAAGUCAAAUAAGAAUCAUAAUUGCCUCAAUGCUCUUUUCUUUGUCCUAAGUGGUUGCCUAAUUUUAAUUGUAGCCAAUGACAGUAUAUUCAUAUUUAUGCAGUGUCUUUAAAACUGCUGGAGCAAAGUUAUCAAUGCGCCCUGCAAAAUGUUAAAUUGGCCGUCUCUUGGGGUCGAUCCAUCAAACCGUAUCUUGAAAGGACUGGAUAUCUCUUUCAUUACAUAAAAUUAAACUAAGAAAAUAACAGAUUGGAGAACGCAUAGUAAAAGGAAGGAAUUAUCUUGGAAUUGGUAACUAAUGGGUGAAUUGAAAUAAAAUGAGUAAAAGCACAAUUUAGUGAAUUCCCUAAAAUGAAAUCACUAAAAGUCCUAAAAUCACAUCUAUGUGAUAGACCAAUGCGUGGACAGUAAGCAUGAAAAGCCAUUGUAAUCAUUGUUGGAGAAAAUUAUGGGGGCAUUUUUUGCCCCUCUCCUAGUGAUAUCGGGGGGGAAAUUUAGAGGUCGACACGGGAUGUAUUGGCAUGUUAUGAAAACACAACAUUGCAUUGCAUGUCAUUUAGCUGAUGCUUUUAUCCAAAGCGACUUACAGUGAGUGCAUUUCAACCAUAAGGUUACAAACUCAGAAGAAAGUGCAAUUAAAAACUGAUCUACAACUUGCUUUUGAUAAGAGCUAUUACAAGUACAAUUUAUGUGCUAGUGUUUUUUAGUCGAGGUAGAGUCUCAAGACGUGUGUCUUUAGUUUGCGGCGGAAGACUCCCAGCGGUCCUGUGGUCAUCAGAUAGCUCAUUCCACCAUCUAGUCGUGAUCUUGUGUUUUGCUCUCAGUGAGAACAAGCAGUUCAGCAGAUGCAGAGCGGACAGUGUGGGUUGGGAUGUAGGGUUUGACCAUGUCCUAGAUGUAGACCGGACUCGAUCCAGGGACAGCAUCGUACUUGAGCACCAAUGUUUUGACCUGGACCUGGAUGCAGCCACUAGUAGCCAAUGCAUGAAUAUAAAUAACCUGACGAACUGCUUGCGUUUCAAUCUCUUCUCUUUUAGCUCCUUCUCGCUUUCUACCGAUCUAGAAAUGAGUCCUCAUUUUCUAACCCCCAAAAACUCUUUUCUAUCUUCUCCCACCUCCUCGAACCCCCAGUCCUGCUCCCCCUUUUUCCAAAAGACUUUGUCAACUAUUUUACCAAAAAAAUAAGUGACAUGUGCUCCUCUUCGUCAAACCCACCUUCUGUUCAUGUGUCUCAAGCCCUCGCUUCCCUCUUUCACCCCCCUGACUCCUAACUAAGUUCUAUAACAACAAAUUCAGCAGACUAGCUUGGUUUAAAGAAAAGAAGCCUGAUUUCAACAUCAGGGCCCCGUUCCUCAGACCGGAUUAUUUUCAGCUUUUCAGUUCCACAAAGCAAGUUUGGGGAAAUCACCUUAGCAACACAUCAGGCUAAUUUAAGUCUGCUGGAUAAGCUUGGCAGUUCCCGUCCUCAGAGAUCCCAUUGAUGAAGAAGCGAUAUUAGUUAGAUUAGCGUUUUAUACGGAGAGAGUUCUUUGAGGUCGCCAAGAUCCAUUAUCACAUUACAAUGACUUCCUAUAUGAGAGCUAUCGAUUCUGCCGACAAGGAAUCAAUUGUUUUCAAGACGACCUCCUUGAGCCAUACCUUGUGAACACCACACCCCGCAGCCGAGCAUUGACUUUCUCACACACUGUGCAUGUUUGUACAGCAAUGCGGAGAAGAUUGGGAACCCCGCUCCAUGCCUUGCAGUUCAUUCGGCACUUAUCAUUAUGAAAUAUAUCUACAUACUGCCCAUACAGAUUCUCACACGAGUAUUCAAAGUCCUAGUUUUAUAUGGUCAUCUACACACGUAUGUAAUCAAAACAUAAACGCAUACAGUAAAUGCAUCCUCUACACCAGCGAUUCCCAAAGUGUGGGCCGCGAAGGUACUGCAGGUGGGCCGCGAGAGGUCAUUUACAAUAAAUAAAUACGUUUUUAAUUUUAAAUUUUUAAAUUAAUAUAUAUAUAUUAAUAUUCAUGAUGCGGCACAUUAGUUAUGUGAAAAAUUAAUUGAUGAAGCACAAACAAUUUAAACGAACAGAUUAAUAAAACUAUGAGGCUCUCGUUCGAAACGGCUGCUCUUGUCCGCCUGUCGUUGUUCAACAAACGCGGCGCCCUCUUGUAGUAUUAAAGUAAAUAUACCGCAUUUUCCGCACUCCAAGGCGCACUUAAAAGGCUUUAAUUUCCUCUAAAAACGACAGUGCCUUAUAAUCCGGAUACUGGUUGUACACGGCGCUCAAGGCGCUCUGCCACCCAUGCCAAAGCUCGGUCUACGACGGCGAGAUGCAGAGCGGGCGCUCAAGCGCGUGAGAUAUUGAGCUUGUUUCUGGGCGCGGCAGAGAAACAAAGCUGUCGUUCUUGCCAAGCACUUCAUGAGAUUAAAGAGCGAGAGACGGUGUAAGGUUUAGGUGAAGGUUCGUGCCCCAAAGCAGACAAGGAGAGGUUUGUAGUUAGAUAUGUGAACAAAGUUUAUUUGCUGGCGAGGAUCCUGGCAACGGGCAGGACGAAGAGCCGGGCGAUGACGCACGCGAGAGUUCGUAGUGGACGGAAUAAUCUGGUGUCGACGUGAUGAGACGCCCAGGUUUAUAUGGAGGAGGAUGAUUGAAUGCAGGUGUGCCUCGUCCAGUUGCCGCCAACAGCCAGCCGCACCCCCUGCCGCACACAAACACAGGAGAACACAGCCAAAACCCAAACAAACAGAAAAAACAAUCACCACAGUCGGUGCCCUUUUUUCUACAGUAGCUGAACCAUCUUAACGGGGAAAAUAAGUUAUUCUAAAAGGGGCCCUUGGUAGGCGGCGCGGCUGGAGACCAGCCGAAGAUUUAAGGCGUGGAUGGCGAGGGGGGCGGCGGGACCGGAUGCACCUCGCAGCAUCGAUCGGACCCUGAAAGCACCAUCUCACCUCCCCACAUCCCCAUCCACCCCGACGCCAAAUGUUUGACUGCUAUGGCGGUAAAUCACCGGUCUGUGAGCUGGACGCAUUGGUCUUAAUGUGCCGGUAAUGAUGGUAAAUGAUGGUUGUAGCUGGUUGUCAUCAUCAGUACGGUGAUUAAAAGGUUUGGUUGGGCCGCAAAAGAUUUUCAGAUUUCAAAGUGGGCCGCGGCAUUCUUGAGUAUGGGAACCGCUGCUCUACACCCUUUAUUAAUUUGUAUUGGAUACUCUUUGGGCUUGUUUUUAUCUACUUGUUCUGAAAAGGUUGAGAUAAUCAUUUUCGCCAGCAAGAUUGCAUUCCAUUAAACCUACUGCCAGCAGGUACAUUUAAAGAAAUCUAAUCUAAUUAAUUGAGAUGAGGCACUUAAAUGAGCCUAUACAUUUUCUCAAAAUGUAGGCAUUUAACUUGUCUGCGAUAUUUUGCCGUGCUUCUUGCGGGAAGAAGUUGUAUGUCACUUGCAUAUUUCCUUCUUACUGACGGUUAGUAACAUGCAAUCAUGUAUAAAUUAUAAAGUGGCCUCACACAUUCAUUCACAAAAUCAAAAAUGGUUGACUAUUUCUGUCACACACGUGUGUAAAAAUUAAUCGAUCAGCUCCCUGAGGCCCUUAGUGUGUGUUAUGCAGCCCACCCGCUCUUUGGCAGGGUUCCGCCUAUUGACAAUCAAUGCUCAUUUGAUUCACUCGUCCACACCCUUGAAUUGAUCUGUGUUGCCCUGGAGAGAUUGAGACUGAUCAUCCCUUUUCCUAUACUGUGUGGAAUGCAGAAAGCUUACAUGGACCCAAGAGAAAAGACGGGGUGUGAAAGGUCUUUGGUAGUGGGAGUAAAGGGAGACCAAGGGAGGACACCGGAAUUGCCAGGAUUAAAUUAUAAUAUUCUGCAAUGGUUUGUACUCGAAUGGAUGAGUUUAGUAAGUCUUGUGGAUGAAUAGAUGGAAAUAGGGGGCCAUAGUGAUGAGGGAGGUAGAGUUCAAGAAACCACUGUCGAUAUCUAAAGAACACUAAUGGGGGGAACGUGCAAAUAUCAAUUUUUCCCCACAAAAAGGUUGAAAAGGUUAAUAUCCAGUUUUAGAUUCAGCAAAAGAAAAAAAACAGAAUGAGCAUCCGGAGGCAAGAAGAGCACAACCGAGCCCAAGGGUGACUGCGAGCUAAAUGAAGCUCUAGCACAAGUUCAGACAGGAAGACUAUGCUCUGUAUGGAAAAGCCUGGAGCUUAUUUCACAUACCUCUGUCAACCUCCUCACACAUCCUCACGUUUUGUUUCCUUGCGAUUAUUGUUCGGAGCUGUCAAUCAGGACAUCAGGGAUAUAGAUGAGCUUGUCUUUUCUAUCCAAUGAGCACAACAAACCAACUGCAUCAUUAGCCUGUUAUCUGUUGUGUAUUUUAAAUAUGGUUGUCCAAUUGCAAAUCUCCCUGAGUCGGCUUGGAAGACUUUAUCAUCCCGUGUCAUUCAUCAAUAAAACUGUUUUCUUUCUUUAUCUUACUUUUGUAUUUCCUGAUUGAACCGUUAUUUGGUUACUGCCACUUUGUGUGGGAAACAUUGCAAUCAAAGACAAGCUUAAUUGCCACAUUGAAGGCCGUGUCCUGUGUAGGAACAUGGCUAGGUAAGGUAAGGAUGUUCAUUGUCAUUGUAAAAAAAAGUGUUAGGAUUAGGUUAAAUUAAAUUGGCGACUCGUACAAAUUAUUGUAUAAAAACACACAAGAAAUGACAUAAGUAUAUAAUAGACAGGCAUCAAUGGCUAAAAAGAGAAAGAGAUGCUAAUUCCAAGUAGCAGAGGCAACAUGGUUUAACAAAGCAGCACGUGUGAUAUUCUCAUUGAGUGCUAUGGACUGAUGUAUCCCUACUAGUGAUGUGAUAUUCCCUAUCCCGCAGAAUGUGGCAGCAUGUUGAUACAUAUUGGGCUACCAGAUCUGCCUUGUCUCAUUAUCCCCAGAGUUAUUUUUAUAUUCUAAGAGCACUUCAGAGUCUGAGAUGACACAUUUGAAUCUGUCAAAUAUACAUAUGAUAAUUAUUGUUGGUUGCAAAGCAUUUUUGUGUCUACCUAUUCUGAUUUCCAUAUUGUGGUCAUUUUUUUAUUUUUUGGUCACUGAGCCUAUAUUUAGUUACAAUCUGUCUUUCCUGUCUAUAGCUAUAUAUACGCAUCCUCUGAAGAAGGUCGAACCGACCGAAAUGCCAGGAUCUUUUUAUUAUCUUCUGAGCCUCUAGCCUUUCUGCUUUUAAAUAUAUGGGUUUUAUUUCAUGUUUUUUUUUAAUAUCUCUGACGAGCUGAUUUACACUUCUAUUGCAUUUUACCGACUUUACUGUACGGAGUUGAACUUUUGAUGCCUUCCGUAUUUUUUUACCAGAAAACCAAGGCCCCAAAAUACUGAGGCACCUCAGGAGUGUGGGGUGGUUUAUCCAGUUUUAUCCAGAGUUUUAUUCAAGUGCUCUUUUGUGUGGUGUAUUUUUUUGCAUUUAAAAAAAUAUUUUAAAAACAUUAGAAAUGGCCGGUGUAUGUGACCCCUUGCAUCUUCUGAGAUACCCAUCAAUUGCACUAUGGAGAUUGUGUUUACCUUGCGAUCCGACUUUAGGUCCUCUAUGUAUUCAUCAAUGAGAUCUUCGAGAAUUAUUGUGUACAGAGGGAUUGAUUUUAACCACUCUCUUUUAGAUCUGUACUCUUAACCCAUGUCUUUUUAGAUGUAUUUAAUUGACUCCUAAUAUUUGCACACCAAAUAUUAUUUUAACAAAAGGAGCCAAUUAAUCUGAAAUUCACAGCGGGGCUUUUGGCUUUGGGAUUUAUUUACUUUCCACAAUCAAAUCAUAUUACUUACCUGAUCCGUGUGGUCACUAACGAUGCCUUGCAAAACCAUAAAUCUAUUGACCCUUCACCAUUGCUCCACACAACAGUUAGGAGGACAGGAGGAGUCAUUGGACAGCUGACACCUGAGAAUGGAAAAGAAAAUUAUGAAAACGGUAUUUUAAACUGUUGCAGGUCAUCCAUCACACACAGAUCAUGGAAAAGGUCACUAUUGCAUAACUUCCUGGUGGGAACAAUAAAACAAGCUCGUAAAUUGACCUUCAUAAAACCCUCAUCUACAAAUGAUGAGACUGCCGAGAUAAUCAAACAGAAUACCAACCAAUGGAUUAAAACAUCAAUAUCCUCCAAUGCCAUUACAAUCAGGUUAUAAAGGCUGGCCUAUGAGAACUGCUCCCCCCCCAAAAAAAAUAUUAGAUUGCCUUGAAGAAAGCCAUACUAUAAUAAAUCUCAGGCUCAUCUAUAGUAACUUUGAGGGCCUUAGUGGGGGAUGGGACUCGGGCACCGUCGGAGUCCAGUAGUGGGACCACUCCCUCGGUACGUGAUGACAUGGAGGGGGACAUGGUGGGGUAAGCGGGACAACAAGUCCCAACCAACUCUUGGAGGGCCCAUUCUGCGUCCCACGUUGAGCUCCGGCUCAUUGCCCUUGCAUCUGCCCCUUGAGCAACCUCCAUGGUUGCCAAAACUCUAGCCUCAACCUGAACCCCACUCACAGGCCUCCUGGGGAAGCUGAACACCUGCACCACCACCCGUAGAAUAGUUCUCUGCAUUGGACCUUAACAACUGCCUCAGAGGCAAUAUAUUUUCAACUGUGAAAAAAAACAUUCAGACAACUAAACAGUUGCUCUCCGAACAUUCCCUGAGGCCCACGUCGCAUUCACAAGUUUUUUUUAACUAUAAUGUUUCCUCAUACAAGUAUUUGGGAAAAAGAUCCCAAUUAAGUGUUUCCAGAGAAUUUUAUUAAAAUUAUGGGAAUCGUUGAAAACAAGGAGAUUUUUACAAAGAUAACCUCCUAUGAAGCCCCCUCAACAAUGAAUCUUCUUCAUUAAACCUAUCACUUUCUCCCUUUGCAAAAAAAACCAAGGGUAAAUUGCUGGACGCAAGAAGAUAUACUAACUCAUCAGGGUCUUAAAAAGUUCAGUCUUCUAGGGCAAUCUAGAAAAUAAAGAUAAAAAUCUUUUUAAAAAAAGGUUUUUAUAUGACACCACCAAUUCUGAACAUUUAGUAUCAUUGAUCUAACUGUUUGUAGAACUUCAGGUACCUAUAAUGAACCUUAAUUAUAUUUGUAUGGGUCCCUUUUGUGUGGUGCCUAUAAAGACGAAAAAACAGAUACAUUGUAUUGGCAAAGGCACAAUUCAGAGCCAUUCCAAAUGAAGUCACCUACUUCGCCGAGGAUUCUUAUGACAUUUAUUGAUGUCUUUAAUAACUUUCUCCUUUCUGUUGGGUAUAAAUGGACAUUGAGGUUCUGGGGUGGUGCUUGUGGUGCCAUGUGAAACAUAACAGUCAACAAGACAGGGAGACUGAUGGGGAGAGGGAAGGACAGACAGUGGUUGAGAGGCAAAGUGGAAGAAAUCCCACGAGUUCAGUAAUACUAAUCCCUUUGGCCAAGAUCUGAGUCAAUUCUUCUUCAUUUGUCUUUCAUCUUGCCACUGCUGUCUGUGAAUUGGGCUCCUCCAAAAGGCCUGUCAGGCACUUAUUGAUGCUGUCUGGCCUGAAGGGUUCACACAAUCCUGAAAACGGGACCAGAGAUGUGCAGGGUCCGAGAGGGUAAUUGUGUCAGGGAUUGGGGUUGGUUGCCAUAUAGCUAGCCAGUUUGGGGAUUCUGAAAAAUAGCCCGAGAUAGAACUGUAGCUGAAAAAUAAAAUGGAGUAAAAGGUUAUUUGCACUCAGUUUGAUAAUGCAGGAAUUUUAGCUCUACCGUAAAUUCGGACAGGACACAGUUGUUACAUUAGACAAAGCUGCUGCAGCAGAAAUGUUUAAUGGAAAUGUAUACUUAUGUGUGAUGUAAUAACACAUGCAAUGUACAAUAUGUCAGUUGUGGCUAUGAGUCUAUUCUGGAAGAUAGUUUUCUGGCUGAGAUGAGAGCAACUCUAUGCUCAUUAGCCUGCUGUCACAAAGAAUGUGAAAUGUCCACAUCUUAAUGGUGCAUAUGUUGAUGCUAUAAUCCGAAGUAAAAAUUGUUUGCCAAAACGACAGACUUUGUUGCCCGAAUGUAAUGUUAAACUUCUUUAAUCCAACUAUGUAGUUUGAUGCUUCGAUCUGACAUUAAACUUGUUUAAUCUGACCUAAUUACUUCUGUAUAACUAUACUAUUGAACUGGUUACAUUUGUUGCCCAAAUUUGAUGUUAAAGUGGUGUAAAAUUGAAAUUUUUAUUGCCUAAAUCCCAAAACUUUGGUAAACCUAAUGUCAUAGUUUUGAGGCUCAAAUCUAAUUUUAAACUGAUUCCACAAAACAAUAUUUUUGUCUAAAUCGAAAGUAAUAAGUGUUUACUUAAUAAUGUAUUUUUAUUUUGUCAAUCUAAAGCUAACUAGUUUAAAAUAACCACAAAGUUCCUCUAAUCUGACGUUAAACUAGUUUAACCAAACAACGUAGUUUGGUGCUUUCAAUCAAACUACAGAUUUUUUUGCUUUGAUUUCACCUUAACUUCCAAACACGACAGACAAUUUCACAUUCUUUCUCCGUGUACAAUGAAUGUGUUCUAAGACUUUCUAAAUAUAUAGUGUAUAUCUUGUAAGUCAAUUAAUACUGAACAUGUGACAUCAAUAAUAUGAAGUUAAUUAUGGUCAAAGAAGGUCUGUCAAUUACCUCUUACAGACUUAUUUUAUCCCCAGUCUUAUUUUCUUGGUCAGGUUUUGAGAGCAAAAGGAUGUUGUAGGUGUACAAAUUGGACAACCCUGCACAGCACAUUUAUUUUGGACUAUAUCAAAUGAGUUAAUAUUAUAUUAAAUUAUUAUAUCAUCAUUAGUAAGCAGAUAAUUUUAAACUAAACUGCAUCGGUAGAUCUAGGAUAAUUAGGCGUGAAGCGUCUGCUAUUCUCAAUAUCUCUGCAGCCCCCACUUUGCGUCCAAUAGAGUCCGUAUGAACUUGUAACGGUAAAUUGGUUUUGUGAUUGAUUUAGUAUAGUAUUGAACUGUUAAAGGAACUGUAUGAUGUGCCGAGUGCUUUAAUGAUUGAAUACUUAGAAAGACUGCACAGCAGAAAGCCAGUCUCCCCCCCGAGGGACACGCCGCGCGCAAAUAAAGUUAAGGCUCUCGGCGGUGUGAUGUGAACGAAAUAUUGUUUUGUCAGGGUAAGAAUGGUCCACAGUCAAUAUAUAUAGGAUUGAAUGGCCAGAGCAAAAUGGAAAUUUGCACGUAGAAAUAACAAAAUGUUGUCAUUGUCUCAAUGGCCGUUUUAGUGAAAAAACACUAAAACAUUUUGAUAGAAUAAGUCAAUUCCUUAAAUAAAAACGGCAGCACAAAGAUUGUUUGCUUCAGCUUGAUUCCUGUUUUCACAGUGAAAAUACGAAGUCAAAGGAAGACCUAGGAGGUGGAGGUCUGUGGACCCGGUCUAUUAAGACAAAGGAAAAAUUAGGUGGGGGUCUGUUCGGAAAAGAGGUGUGACCCGGUGUGGUGGAAAGAAAGUUACAGAACAGUCUGUAGUUAAAUAAGUCAUUAAUUCGUUGUGGCAAAGUAAUUGAAUAUUUGAAUGAAUGGGGAAAUGUGAUUUAAAAAAAAGUAAGAAUUGUUUUAUAUAGUGCCUCAAACUUGCAAAUUAUUGAUUCUUGCAUGAUAUAUGAUGUACCUCGCACGGUACAUUCCAUAAAACAUGUUAAUGAUGCAUCAUAGGAAAAAAUAGGUGGCAUCCGUACAUGAAAAGAUAGAAAGCUUCUUUACAGACUGUCAUCCUGUAAUGGUUUUAACAAUAACACAAAUUUGACUCAUGAGUUAUUGAUGAUCUGUUGUCUCUAGAAAUAGAGGAAUGCACUAGGGGUUCUGUCCUCACGGGUAGAAAAUGCAGAAACAGCAGACAAUGACAGAAUAGGUAUGAGUGAUUAGCCAUACUAGAGAAGACGGGAGCUCUAUUACCUGCUCUUCGGUUUAUCACCUGUAGAAGAUCGACUAAAUUUCAAACCCUUCUCAAAAGAAACUGACCCUUUUUCAUAUUGCUGUUUAAAGCUGCAUAACCACUGUUUCUACACAAAACCAAUACAUAGGAUAGAAUAUAGCAAGGAAAGUUGAGGAUGUGUGGAAACAUGAAUAAAAUCAUGGAGUCCCUGACAAAGGAUCUUAGCUUAGGACAGCUAAUGAGUUAUAAACUCAUAACAUGCCAAUUGCAUACUUUCAGAUGUGUUUUGAAUGUUAUGGAAAGAUGGCGAGAGAGUUAAACAGUAACCGACGGUCUUUGUAACAGAUAAUAACACACACACACACACACACUGUUCAUAGAGCUGAUGAGAGGGAGACAAUGUCCCUUAAUACCUCCCCUUUCUGGGAACAGUCUGCUCACAAAUGUGGGAAAUUCGACCACCCCCUCCAGUGGAAUUGCAGCAGACUCAACAAGAUCAAAGAGGAAGAGGAGCUAAAUCACACUUCAAGGACGACAGCCAAAUGUCAACUGACCAAGCAUCUGGAACGAUACAGAUGUUCCAGCAGCGGAAGAAGACGGGGAGGGAGUAUAAACACAUGCAUACAAUGAAGAAUCAUAUAUUCACCCCCAAAUACUGAUCUCAUACAGUAUUGCACACCAUUUCUGGGUUAGAAAAGGGAGAGAAACUACCUAUUCUAACUCAUGCUAAAUAUGAUCAGGAUGCAUACAAACGAUUGCCAAUGGUUGACCAACAGAAAUAAAGGUUCUUGAUCAAUUCCAUCUAAUUCCGUCAUAAUGUCCAGAAGUUUGACCGGAUGUAAGACUGAGCAGCAGAUUAACAUAUUUGCAUACUGACAGUGAACAAUCUGCAGACAGCGGUAUCCCGAGCUCUACGAUACAUCCUUGUACCUGCGACCGGUCUGGGAAAAAUCUCGCACUUUUAACAACCAGCAUACAGCCAACCAUAUGCGCAUUUUUACAACAUCCCAUCACUGAAUAUAGUACAAUAAGGUGUAGGGUAAUUGUGUUGUUGAACGACACACUGAUACUAAAUUAAAAGAGCCUGUGUGUUUGGCUGUGCUUGAGCAUACGAUGUCUCUCCAUGGGACAGUUCCUUCGGAAUGGAAGUAUGACGUGAAGGCGGUGAAGUCCGGUGCCUGAUCCGAGCCGACGAGCUAACGGCUAGCACCAAGUACCGCUGGAAGCGGCAGUCAUCCAGACGCAGUUCCUGAAGAAGUCGGUGAAAUUUACCAAGCUGUCUACGGAUGCUAUUUAGUACAAAAACAUGACUGUUUGGUCGUCCGACGCAAGUAGAACUUCCACAACAAGUACAGAGUCGCUAUGACAGGUAGAGUCGCAAUUGAUGCGAGGGAAAAACGAUGGCGGAAAGUCGAUCGGUUUCAGGGUGAUAAAUCAUGGGCCCUCUCAGUCGCGAAUACAUGAUACACGCAAAUUGACCACAAAUGUACCAUCAGAUAUAACCACUGUAAGAGCCCGAAGUGUGUUUUUUGUUUAAACUGGAUGUUCUUAUAUUGAAGACAUUAUAUUGGAUAUAUAUGUUGGCAUGACGCCCCCCUUUAUUUUCUUUCUUAUAUUGACGUCAUGUUUGCAGCAGGUGCACCUUAGAUGGGCUGAUUAGGCACUAGAGGACAGUUUUUCUACCGUGUGACGGGAUGUGUUUUUGGUAUGUUUGGUUAACGCUUUUGUUGCGGAAAUAAACACCAACCAAAAGAAUAUAAAGAUCUCGUGUUAUUCGCAUCAAGGAAAUGGACUCAGUGUGUCUGUGGCUUAAUAAUGUUCGGGACCGAAGGAACGCCGCUACAACCACCAUCUACAGAAACCUGUGGGAGGGUAAGCGCAAGACUUGAAGUGGAAGAAAUAAAGUCAGUAAUUGCAUUAAUGUGGACACUAAUGGGACUAAUAAUAGUGUUAGAAGCAGCGGGUGUCAGCAGGGCCAUGUCUGGAGGCAGGACCUAAUCAUCAUCCAUGGAAACCUGUUAGGCAAGAAAGCGCAAACACUCCGGGGAAGAAGCUGAAAUUGUGAUUUUCAUUAAUGAGAUAUGCAUUCUUACGGAAGGAGAGAGGGGGAGAGAGAGAGAGAAGAUGAGCUCAGUGUGUCCUAAGAAAUUCCCCUUCAGUCUGCUCAUACAGCAACUUAUCGAAGGGCUGGUCCAGGCUGACCUGAGCCAGCCCUAACUAUAUGCGUUUUUAGAGAGGAAAGUCUUAAGCCUAGUCUUAAAUAAGGUGACUGUCUGCCCACCAGACAAAAAAGUGAAAGCUGGUUCCACAAAAGAAGAGCUUAAUAACUGAAGGUUCUGGCUCCCAUUCUACCUUUUAAGACUCUAUCUAUGGAGCGCAGCUCUCUCGCAAGGCAAUAUGGGAUUAUAAUCUCCAUAAACAAGGCGGCGCCUGAGCAAUUGUACUCUGCGUGUAGGUGAGGAUAAAUCCCUUAAAUUCUAUUCUUGAUUCAACAGAAAGGCAGUGUAGGCUUAGCAUAAGUGAAACCAGGUUGGUCAGAAUACAGGAGUAAUAUAAUCUCUUUUCUUAGCUGUUAAUACACAUGUGCAUUAUUCCUAGAGAGGCUUAAGAGCAGCCUAAUUGCAGUAAUCUAUCCUAGAAGUGUGAUGCAUCAUCAAGGAGGUGUGGUCAUCUCCUCCUCAUCCUGGGAGGCGGUGGCUGGAACAGCUGUCGGCAAUCAGCCAUCAGAAGAACCUAUAUA